rnacentral:rRNA from 1 species
GUCCACGCCGUAAACGAUGAAUGCCAGUCGUCAGCAAGCAUGCUUGUUGGUGACACACCUAACGGAUUAAGCAUUCCGCCUGGGGAGUACGGCCGCAAGGUUAAACUCAAAGGAAUUGACGGGGGCCCGCACAAGCGGUGGAGCAUGUGGUUUAAUUCGAAGCAACGCGCAGAACCUUACCAACCCUUGACAUCGUCUGACCGCCGGAGAGAUUCGGUUUUCUCGCAAGAGACAGAUAGACAGGUGCUGCAUGGCUGUCGU